GCUUUAACUUUACUUUCAAGGGUCAUAGUGUGAUGGAAAGUACAUCAUUGCAUUCAGAAUUACAAAGAGAAAUUAAUUUUUAAAAUAAAAUUAUCUUCUGGCAUUUUCUAAGUUUGCCAUAUUUACCCAGAGAUGGAGAUGGAAAUUAACUUAAGGGGUUAAAGUUUCUAUACAACUUGCUUCUAUUGAACAUGCAAUGUGAUAUUAAAGGAAAGAAAACAGAAGGUAAAACAGGUCAAUAAAAGAGAUAAAAGAUAGGAAAAAAGUGCCUUAUUUUGUUUUUUUGAUCUUCAGGUGUUUUUUUCCCACAAAUGAUGGUUACACCUCACUUCUACACUGCAGAUCAAUAGUUACACCUUUCUCUUCUUUUAUAGAGCAAAUAGUCUUCCAGCAUGACCUCACCAACAAGCAGUUUAACCUUUCCCUGCAAAGAAUAACACCUGUACACACCUUCCUCCUCCACAUUAUACAAUACCUAGCCAGCUUCUCUCUCAGUCUAUCCAUCUACCAUCCAUCCCACAUGGGUUGGACCAGAUGAAGCUCCACACACUCAACAUGCCCUGCCAACCACUGGUGGAAAGAGACAGUCUUGUGGACCACCUUAUUACAUCCCAGGAGCUUCAGCAUAGCACAGCUGGCCAUGUACAUCCAUAGCAAGGCCUGGCACCAUACAUUGGAUAAGUACUUUUGAAUCAUGUAAUAAUAAAACCAAAAAACUUUUAUAGGAGUUAAAAACAAGUAUUGCUGUUUUCAUUCUGUUCAUUAAUGCCCACAGCUGGACGUACCACUGUGAGGAUCUGAUGGAGGCAAUGGUCAGUUCGGAAAGAUCCAUUUACAAGACAGGAGACACAUUGCUGGUGAAGAGUGUGAGUCUCCCAAAGCCUGCAGGAGUGACUGAUGAUGUGUAUGUUGAUGAGGUGGCCUUCCUCACCACCCCAACUUCUGUGACACAGAUGUACCCGCCCGCCCUCAAGCAGAAGGGAAUCCUUAUUGAGGAUGUGGCAGUCAAGAAGGUGACAGAGAAUGGGUACUCCCUGGAAUUCCAGACCACAAACUGCAAGACUGGAAUGCCCCUCCUUGGUCUCCUGCAGGUGGAAGGUCCUCCAGCAAGCUUUGACACUCAGGUGACAGUCACAUGCUCCUCUCAGACUGCCACGGGUCCCCUCGCUGGCAACUGGGACCUCGGAAUUCAGGGGCAGGUUGUAAAAGACAUUCCAGCAGGUGUUGACCCAAAGGUCCUGGAGGGCAUUCUGGAAAGUGCCCUGGGAACUGAUCUCACAGUCCAGUACUCCGGCUCCUGCAAGAACUACCACUACUACAUUGAGUGGGAGGAAGAUCCCGGCAGAAAGGAGCUGGUGGAGAUACACACAGAUAACCUGAUGUUUGAUGGGCAAGGGGCUGCAGCACACCCUCACCCUGAGUGGCAUGGCCAUCACUGCCACCCAGCUCACCUGCACUGUAGCACUGUGGGGCGGCUUGCAUUCAGUGGCACUCAGCAUGCAGCCGGCUGGCUCGGCACUGCUCCCCUCCCCCAUCAUCUACAUGGUGCCAGUCACCGUGGUUGCACUCAGCAUCACGGAGGGAAGCACUGGUGGACAGUAUCCUCUCACUGUGACUGGCACUGGCUUCCCAGACAGUGAUGGGUGGGAGGCUGGCAGUGCCAUUAUGACUCUGGGUGGCAAGAAGUGUGUGGUUAUCUCUGGUGGACCCACAGAGGUCACCUGCACAGUGCCUGCUGGUGAGGCACGGUGGAUGUGGUGGUGGAUGUGGGCAGCACAAGUGGCUCCCUCCCUUCCUCCUUCACUUAUGACGUCUCACUGUCACCCACCAUCAUUGGCCUUUCCCUCCACACCCUCUCCCUCUUUG